rnacentral:rRNA from 1 species
UGGGGAAUAUUGCACAAUGGGCGCAAGCCUGAUGCAGCCAUGCCGCGUGUGUGAAGAAGGCCUUCGGGUUGUAAAGCACUUUCAGCGGGGAGGAAGGCGGUGAGGUUAAUAACCUCAUCGAUUGACGUUACCCGCAGAAGAAGCACCGGCUAACUCCGUGCCAGCAGCCGCGGUAAUACGGAGGGUGCAAGCGUUAAUCGGAAUUACUGGGCGUAAAGCGUACGCAGGCGGUCUGUCAAGUCGGAUGUGAAAUCCCCGGGCUCAACCUGGGAACUGCAUUCGAAACUGGCAGGCUAGAGUCUUGUAGAGGGGGGUAGAAUUCCAGGUGUAGCGGUGAAAUGCGUAGAGAUCUGGAGGAAUACCGGUGGCGAAGGCGGCCCCCUGGACAAAGACUGACGCUCAGGUGCGAAAGCGUGGGGAGCAAACAGG